rnacentral:rRNA from 1 species
CCUACGGGUGGCAGCAGUGGGGAAUAUUGCACAAUGGGGGAAACCCUGAUGCAGCGACGCCGCGUGAGUGAAGAAGUAAUUCGUUACGUAAAGCUCUAUCAGCAGGGAAGAAAAUGACGGUACCUAAGUAAGAAGCCCCGGCUAACUACGUGCCAGCAGCCGCGGUAAUACGUAGGGGGCAAGCGUUAUCCGGAUUUACUGGGUGUAAAGGGAGCGUAGACGGCUGUGCAAGCCAGAUGUGAAAGCCCGGGGCUCAACCCCGGGACUGCAUUUGGAACUGUGUGGCUGGAGUGUCGGAGAGGCAGGCGGAAUUCCUAGUGUAGCGGUGAAAUGCGUAGAUAUUAGGAGGAACACCAGUGGCGAAGGCGGCCUGCUGGACGAUGACUGACGUUGAGGCUCGAAAGCGUGGGGAGCAAACAGGAUUAGAUACCCCAGUAGUC